rnacentral:rRNA from 1 species
GUUUGAUCCUGGCUCAGGAUGAACGCUGGCGGCGUGCCUAAUACAUGCAAGUCGAGCGAACGGACGAGAAGCUUGCUUCUCUGAUGUUAGCGGCGGACGGGUGAGUAACACGUGGAUAACCUACCUAUAAGACUGGGAUAACUUCGGGAAACCGGAGCUAAUACCGGAUAAUAUUUUGAACCGCAUGGUUCAAAAGUGAAAGACGGUCUUGCUGUCACUUAUAGAUGGAUCCGCGCUGCAUUAGCUAGUUGGUAAGGUAACGGCUUACCAAGGCAACGAUGCAUAGCCGACCUGAGAGGGUGAUCGGCCACACUGGAACUGAGACACGGUCCAGACUCCUACGGGAGGCAGCAGUAGGGAAUCUUCCGCAAUGGGCGAAAGCCUGACGGAGCAACGCCGCGUGAGUGAUGAAGGUCUUCGGAUCGUAAAACUCUGUUAUUAGGGAAGAACAUAUGUGUAAGUAACUGUGCACAUCUUGACGGUACCUAAUCAGAAAGCCACGGCUAACUACGUGCCAGCAGCCGCGGUAAUACGUAGGUGGCAAGCGUUAUCCGGAAUUAUUGGGCGUAAAGCGCGCGUAGGCGGUUUUUUAAGUCUGAUGUGAAAGCCCACGGCUCAACCGUGGAGGGUCAUUGGAAACUGGAAAACUUGAGUGCAGAAGAGGAAAGUGGAAUUCCAUGUGUAGCGGUGAAAUGCGCAGAGAUAUGGAGGAACACCAGUGGCGAAGGCGACUUUCUGGUCUGUAACUGACGCUGAUGUGCGAAAGCGUGGGGAUCAAACAGGAUUAGAUACCCUGGUAGUCCACGCCGUAAACGAUGAGUGCUAAGUGUUAGGGGGUUUCCGCCCCUUAGUGCUGCAGCUAACGCAUUAAGCACUCCGCCUGGGGAGUACGACCGCAAGGUUGAAACUCAAAGGAAUUGACGGGGACCCGCACAAGCGGUGGAGCAUGUGGUUUAAUUCGAAGCAACGCGAAGAACCUUACCAAAUCUUGACAUCCUUUGACAACUCUAGAGAUAGAGC